rnacentral:lncRNA from 1 species
AUAAACUGAUUACUGAAGGCUAAACAUGACUUCCAACAAACCGGAAGUGGCCAAUUAUUUCCUCUUCUACAAACAAAAGUAUAUAGAAACUAUAUAUUUUUGGAAUCAGUGUGAAAGAAGCUAUCAUAUGAGACCGGAAGUAGCAUAUUAUCUCCCUUAUAUCACUCAAAAAUAUAAUUAAACCAUUAUUUAUCGCAUCGGUAUGAAGAAACUAUCUUCUUAUCAAAAUUUCUUUGGUAUGGAAAGACUUUCAAUUGUUCUCUGAACAAUUGGUUUUUAAUUAUUAUUAUUAGGUCUUUCCACUUUUCUGUGGAAAGCCUAUUGUAUUUGUUCUGAUUAUUAUUAGGUCUUUCCACUUUUCUGUGGAAAGACCUAUUGUUUUUCUUCUGAUUAUUUUUUUUUUUUUUUCUUCCGCCUAAUUUUGUUCUUGCGAUAAACAUUUGUUUCGCAAUAUGUCGCUUAGAUAUUUUGUAUAUGAUAUCGAACAGUUUAUGCGCUUUUGAAAUUUACCCUGCGUAAACGAAUACUUUUCUUUGUAGGAGUUAUCUCCCCAAACACUGUUUUCCUUGUUAGCGCAUCUCCUUCGCAACCGUUAAAGAUUAUGACAAAUUUAUUUUACAAAAUUGCUCGUUAUAUCCUUGGCAUGAUUUGUC